UCGAACCGCUAGGAUUUGGAACGGCCUUCCAGCAUCAGUUUUCACCACCAAUUGUAAUAUGGGUAUCUUCAAGUCAAGAGUGAAUAGGUAUCUUCUAGGCAAGCGCGCUCUUAGGCUGCUGCUUUGCCACCAGGUCUGAUCGCAACAGCUAAUAUCUAUAGUCUAUAAUAUAAA